UUUCCGUAGGUGAACCUGCGGAAGGAUCAUUACCGUAAGAAACUAGGGUUUGAGACUGUGUCCGUUUGGGACGUGUGCUCGACCCUUACUCUUAUCCACACACACCUUUGUGCACCAUGGGGGACGUGAGUGCCCCUUUUCACACGAAUACCAAGUUAUAUGCAUGGUUAUAUGAACUCUACGGAGUAACAUACAACUUUCAACAACGGAUCUCUUGGCUUUCGCAUCGAUGAAGAACGCAGC
rnacentral:misc_RNA from 1 species